rnacentral:tRNA from 1 species
AAUCGACGACAUCAGCUGCUCCAUAAGUUCCCACACGAAUUGCUUGAUUCAUUGAAGAAGACGAUAGAAGCAGCUUUAAGCUCCAAGCUGAUAGCUCUUAGCUAAUCAGUUACGCGCUCGAAAUUGGGUCUGUAGCUCAGUUGGUUAGAGCGCACCCCUGAUAAGGGUGAGGUCGGCAGUUCGAAUCUGCCCAGACCCACCAAUUUUGUGUGGGAAACGCCUGUAGAAAUACGGGGCCAUAGCUCAGCUGGGAGAGCGCCUGCCUUGCACGCAGGAGGUCAACGGUUCGAUCCCGUUUGGCUCCACCACUACUGCUUCUGUUUGUAGAAAGCUUAGAAAUGAGCAUUCCAUCGUUGUGAUGGUGAAUGUUGAUUUCUAGUCUUUGACUAGUUCGUUCUUUAAAAAUUUGGGUAUGUGAUAGAAAGAUAGACUGAACGUUACUUUCACUGGUAACGGAUCAGGCUAAGGUAAAAUUUGUGAGUUCUCUUAACCGAGAAAUUCGAAUUUUCGGCGAAUGUUGUCUUCAUAGUAUAACCAGAUUGCUUGGGGUUAUAU